rnacentral:rRNA from 1 species
AUUGAACGCUGGCGGCAGGCCUAACACAUGCAAGUCGAACGAGUGGCGGACGGGUGAGUAAUGUCUGGGAAACUGCCUGAUGGAGGGGGAUAACUACUGGAAACGGUAGCUAAUACCGCAUACCAUCAGAUGUGCCCAGAUGGGAUUAGCUAGUUGGUGGGGUAACGGCUCACCAAGGCGACGAUCCCUACCUGGUCUUAGAGGAUGACCAGCCACACUGGAAUUGAGACACGGGCCAGACUCCUACGGUAGGCAGCAGUGGGGAAGAUUGCACAAUGGGCUCAAGCCUGAUGCAGCCAUGCCGCGUGUAUGAAGAAGGCCUUCGGGUUGUAAAGUACUUUCAGCGGGGAGGCGUUACCCGCAGAAGAAGCACCGGCUAACUCCGUGCCAGCAGCCGCGGUAAUAC